AGGGUGUAUGCCCUUCAGCCAAUCACAAUCGCCUCGUCUAAGUUUUAGAAUGUUCCAUGCCCAAAUGAUUGGACGACCGCCCCCACGUCAGCAAUGACACUUCGCCGCAGUAAAGGCGGGUGCUAGCAACCUGCUUCUUCAUGGUUAAGGCCUAAAACAAGCCAAUCACCUUUCUUCUUUAGUGCGGAUUUCAGCCAAUGAUGUCCGUCCUCUUAGGUCCUUGGCCCGCCCUCCAAAAGCGCGACAGCAGUUGGGUCAUAAGUCUAUAGGGCAGAAUGUUCACGUGGCCUAUUUUCACGACCCAGAGUUCCCCUGACCAGAGGUUUUCCCCCCCUCAAAAAAGGAGGCAUUAUGGGUUUGUGUCUCCCCCCCACCCCCACUGGGAGAGGAAGUGUCUACGUGGCCUGCGGAAAUAGGAUAGGCGGAAAUGAGCUAAGGUUCGCGCGAGUAGGGAAGCGCUAGGUCAAAUCUAGGGCCACGCCCCCGGGGCUGUUGCGCAACUCUUGGAGCAGAGGGAAAAAUGCGCAGUGGGGACGUUAACGGGCGUGCGAGUGGGGAUGUCAAAGAGUUAAUGAAUGAUCCCAGGCACUGAUGCUGAUGAAGAUGUUUUGUCAGUCAGUAAAGAUAGAAAAGAACUCAGAGGAGAGGUUGUGGUGGACCCAUUUUAGAGAUGAAGAACCAGAGACAAACAAAAUAUCUCACAAGGAAUUGAGAAAUGUGGGCGUUGAGGAAUUUGAAGAUGGGUGACCUGAAAUCCAAGGGGGAGAAGGGCUGAGAAGCUGGAGAGGGAAGAUAUUCCAAAAGCAAGCUGGGGAGAGAACGCACAGUGUAGGAGGUAAGGUGUGGAGAUGGGAAGGAGUGAUAUCCAUUAAAGUGAGAGAGGCUGGAAGAAAAGAGAUUGGAGAAUGGGGAAUGGAAGCUGGUGCUAAUGGAUGCAGAGAGGUGACCAGGGUUCUGGGACCAAGUCUCUGAGAGGACUGGGCCGUAUUUUGAAACUUCUUCCAGUUCCCAAGUUAUUCUAUUGAUCGUGGCAAGGCUUUCACUCGUUCAGUUUGAGAGGGAGCCCUUGCCAAUCAGCCUACAAAAGUUGGUAGGCUGGGUUAUGCGGUUGCUGUGGCCAGAGCCUGGUGCGAAGGCCUGCUGAGGUGAUGAAAAAGAGAGCUUCCCCCUUCCCUGGGAGGCUUAUGGACUAGCUGGGAAGACAAAGUAGGAGAACACUGAAAAAAUUAAACCGCUUUAGACAGUGACAUGGAAGGAGACCACCAUCUCAUAGAGAUGGAUGGGUGAGGAGAGAUUAGAGAAGAAAAACAGCUGGCAGACUCCUAGAACAUUCCUAAUUUGCUCUUGGCUAAGGGUUCCCUGAAAAUGUUAUGGAUUCCCCUCCCUUCUCCGACAGGGCUCCUCUGAGACAGAGGACUUCUGUUUCUCUACCUGGAACAAAAAGGCCCAGAGACAGGUUCUAGAAAUGAAUUAACUCUCCAUCAACUC